AAAGAGCCUCACCUGAAAGGUCUUGUAGAAGAGACAAGGGUACAGAUUCUGGAAUUGGAUAAUCCCCACCCCACCACCUUCUAGCUGGUCGUCUUAGAGAAGACAAGAUAAACGACACCCCACCACAGAUCGUGCCCAAGGACCCACUGAGCAGCCUACUCCCCUCAUCCCACCUGCACCCUCAUAAUGGUUGCCAGAUUCGGCUGUGUGAUUUGUAUCCUGCAAUAAAAUGCACAGACCACAAGUUUGCCUUUCUGCACCCACUGUUCCACCAGCAUCGUGCACAAAACAAUGCCCAUCAUUGUCUCCCGGGAGCUUUGUGCAGACCAGAAGUGACAAAAGGGAGUAACUUCAAACAAAUCAACAGAAUGUAAUUACAGGCUUCUGCUGCCAGAUCCUUCCUGCUCAGCUUCUUCCCAGAACACUGGCCUGGGCCACCGAGCAUCCCAUCUUCUCUCUGGAAUGGAAAAGCGUAUUUCUGGAAUUGGACAGACUCAUUUUGCCAAGGAACUAUUUUCCACCAACAAAUCAAAAAUUAGUUACAGUAUAAUUCCAUCAGGACACUUAUCCUUGGUGGCUGGAGGAGAGGAGGAG